UUAACAACUGCCUUAAAGCUUUCACGUAAAACGCUUUAUAAUAAAACUUUAACCUUGUGAUAUCACCAUCUUACGUAGUUCUAUUUUCAGGAGUUGUCUCAAGAACAGUGUGCCGCCCACAGACUGUCCAAGGCAUCUGCAGCGCCCUGAAGAAAGUGACACACACCUUUGUGGUAACACGAGCACCAUUCACAGUAACAACUCAGUAGAAGAACACAGGAAAUGCUGUGCUGGCCAGAUGUCAGGCAAAUCCUUGUAGGCUGGACCCCCAAGGCUCCGAUUGAGUGUCCGGUCUGGUAGCAGACCAGGCUCCCAAUGGUUUUCUCUGGUCUCUGCUGGACCAUGCUGCAAUCCAACACCUGCUUUCCCUGCUGGACCACCAGCCCAGGAGGGCACAGACCAAAGGGCCACUGCUGGGCCCAUACAGCACCUUACACCAGAGGCACCAACUUUGAAGAAAUGUGUAAGCACACGAAACAGGAUACAAAAGUAACUCCCGACCUUAGACUUCAACAAAUAAGCAAACAGUUAUGGGGUGAUGCAGGCCCAGACUAGGAAACCUUGGGCUCCUCACCAAGACCUCUGAAGCCACAGUGGAUGGUGAAAUGGGAAGCAGGACGCACAGGGAGCCCCUGUGAGAAUCAGCACACCCCAUGAGCAGAAUGCGCCACUGCCCUGCAUGCUUACCAGAGCACACAACCAGCACUUUAGCACAGAUAGGCCAGCGCACAUAUCCACAAACUUACCCAACUGCCACUUCAAUUCCAAUACCAGAUCGAAUAAAAGAGUCCA